AAGCUGAGAAGAUUUGUUUCACAAAUAAAAAUGUUUAUUAAUCCUGGGGUUUAUCUGCCUUUCCAGACUCGAAAUGGAAUAGCUAGUAUUAACAAAACAGUAGAUCACUGGACUGCUGGUGGGAUAUUUUAUGACAAUCUUUCAUCUGGUAUGCAAACGCAGCUAGUUGUUUUCAUUUUACACACAUCAUCCCCAAGCCCGGAAUCCAACCGCACUUGCUGGACGUUGGAACAGCCAUAUCACAUAAUACCUAAACUUAGCCUGGGAUCAGCUGUGAAUAUUGCACCAGAUGAAAAAGGCUUAAAAAAGCUGUCACGCAGAAACAGCCUAGAAAGAUAUCACAGUGCUGCUCUGUGGCCAGGGCUGGGAGAUAAAUGACUUACCCUGCUUUGAAAGAAAAUGAGUACUUCUGAGCAGCAGCACUAAUGAGGCCCAUUCUCAUAAGGACUUGAGACUGAUCUCUCCUUGAUUUUCUGAUGUCUGAUAAGGGGUAAUAUUUCUGUUUCAGCUUUUCUUUUGGAGGGGGGAUAAUGGCCACAUAAUUUUCCCGAAAUAUGUAGAGUUUUAGUACCUUUAAGAACUCUACACCUGUCAGAUCACCUAGAUCAACUCUUUUCUUUUAGUGUUCAUUACUUCUUUUUAUAUUAAAAUUUCCUUUUAGGUACGAACUGUAAUUCAAGGCUCUGAUAAAUCACUACCACCUUCACGCGAAAAUUCAUUUUAAGGUUAAUGGCAAUUCCGAUUUAGCAGCACAUCAUUAUAAUCUAAUAAGCUGGGGAGUAACUAUUGUCCUUUCUCCACCAUGAUAUUCCGAGUCUGUGAGACAGGGUGGAAUAUUGUUGAGUUCCUGCAGGAGAAUAAUGCUGCUGGCACAGCGAAGGAAGCAGAGGAAGUGAAACGGCUGAGGAGUGACAAGGGCCUGGGAGAAUGGCGGCCUGGCAGUCCCAGAUGCUGUAGUGGCCAACAGAAUAUUUUUUUUUCAGUAUUUUAGUAGACUAUGAGUAAUACUUGCCCACAACCUAGGAAAUAGAAAACUGAAGUAAAGCUGGUUGCACUCCCAUCUGUUGCAGAGAAGACUUUGAGGCAGACUUACCUGCCUGAGGAUUUGAGUACAUAGCUGCCGGUGUACGUUUUACUCUAAUGGUAAAAAUUGAUUUAAAACAAAAACAAAAACAAAAACAAAAAAAAUGAGAGAGGGAAAGAAGAAGGGAAAAGGAAAACCUCACAGUAGCCAGUUAGGAAGAGAAGCAAGGGUGUCCGCAGACAAGUUACCUCCUGUGGGCUCCUCUACAGUGCAGCGCGUGUUCCCCCGUAAUACCUUUCCUGUAGAAAUGAGAGAGUUUUCAUGCAGAUCCACUCAACCCCCUAUUGAUUGUUCCUGCCUUUGAUGCUCUUGGUGCAGACAGGAGCACACUUUAAUCGGGAGCAUGUGUUGCACACUAAUGGGUUGUUAAGCUUUGGCAUCUAUAUUACUGGGUAAUGCAUAUCGAAUAUUAAAUGACUAUUGUCUAUUUCUUCCCCCCUUAGCGUAAACCAAAGACUACAACUGAGAAAUGGAAAAAGGAUGGGGAGACUAGGAGAUUCCCACCGUGGUGACAUUGCCUCCCCUGGAACCCACCCCAACAGCCAUUCGGGGCUUGUACGUGCACAGCCGUGAGAGUGAUGGGACAAGGUUUCUUCCUGGGGAGGUAAGUUUGGUACAGUCGGAGGGGGGAGUAGGUUGGGAUGAGUGCUCUUGAAGUUACUAAUAUGAAGUAGUACCACAUACCGACAGCUUAGUAGUCAAAUAGUAAGUGGAGUUUCUUCCAGAGUUAUCUUCAAUUCUCUGUAACUUUGAAAGAUGUUUCAAAUAAAUGUCAGGCUUGUUGUUUUGUUAGCCUUAGC
ensembl:lncRNA